rnacentral:rRNA from 1 species
UACGAAGGUCCCGAGCGUUGUUCGGAAUCACUGGGCGUAAAGGGAGCGUAGGCGGCGCGGUAAGUCGGAUGUGAAAUCCCGGGGCUCAACCCCGGAACUGCAUCCGAUACUGCCGUGCUAGAGUAAUGGAGGGGUAGCUGGAAUUCUCGGUGUAGCAGUGAAAUGCGUAGAUAUCGAGAGGAACACUCGUGGCGAAAGCGAGCUACUGGACAUUUACUGACGCUGAGGCUCGAAGGCUAGGGGAGCGAAAGGG